CCCGAUGAACCUGAAUAUCCGUUAUGGAAAAUUCAUCAUUAGAAUUGUAAUAUUUAAACAAUAUUAUAAUAAUAGUGUGCAUUUUUUCCAUAUAAGGACAUUGUAAUCUAUUAGUAUCAAUUAAUUUAUCAAAAAUUUAGUCAAUUGCUUAUUUAAAUUAAAAUGCUUGCAUUUUAACAUAAAAUAAAAGUCAUAAAUUUGAUAAAGUGCUGAUAGAUUUAUAUGAAUACAGUGCGUUAAUUUUUCGGAAUUAUAUAAUGGCAUGAUUAUCAUUGAUUUUUGUGUUUAUUAUAUGCACUUGUAUGAUUAACAAUGCGAAAGAUUCAGGAUACUUCGGG
rnacentral:rRNA from 1 species